rnacentral:rRNA from 1 species
CCGCGGUAACACGUAAGCCCCAAGCGUUGUUCGGAAUUAUUGGGCGUAAAGGGCAUGUAGGCGGUUAUGUAAGCCUGAUGUGAAAUCUACGAGCUUAACUCGUAAACUGCAUUGGGUACUGCGUAACUUGAAUCACGGAGGGGAAACCGGAAUUCCAAGUGUAGGGGUGGAAUCUGUAGAUAUUUGGAAGAACACCGGUGGCGAAGGCGGGUUUCUGGCCGAUGAUUGACGCUGAGAUGCGAAGGUGCGGGGAGCAAACAGGAUUAGAUACCCUGGUAGUCCGCACAGUAAACAAUGUACACUAGGCGUUGGAGCAAGAGCUUCAGUGCCGACGCAAACGCAUUAAGUGUACCGCCUGGGAAGUAUGCCCGCAAGGGUGAAACUCAAAGGAAUUGACGGGGGCCCACACAAGCGGUGGAGCAUGUGGUUUAAUUCGAUGAUACGCGAGGAACCUUACCUGGGUUUGACAUCAAGAGUAAUGGUAUAGAGAUAUAUCAGCGUAGCAAUACGACUC